rnacentral:tRNA from 1 species
UGUUCUGUGGCUUAGUUGGUUAAAGCGACGGAUUAGCGAUAUGGAGUCGUUGGUUAAAAUCCCACCAGAACAA